rnacentral:rRNA from 1 species
AGUGAACGCUGGCGGUAGGCCUAACACAUGCAAGUCGAACGGCAGCACAGUAAGAGCUUGCUCUUAUGGGUGGCGAGUGGCGGACGGGUGAGGAAUACAUCGGAAUCUACUUUUUCGUGGGGGAUAACGUAGGGAAACUUACGCUACUACCGCAUACGACCUACGGGUGAAAGCAGGGGAUCUUCGGACCUUGCGCGAUUGAAUGAGCCGAUGUCGGAUUAGCUAGUUGGCGGGGUAAAGGCCCACCAAGGCGACGAUCCGUAGCUGGUCUGAGAGGAUGAUCAGCCACACUGGAACUGAGACACGGUCCAGACUCCUACGGGAGGCAGCAGUGGGGAAUAUUGGACAAUGGGCGCAAGCCUGAUCCAGCCAUACCGCGUGGGUGAAGAAGGCCUUCGGGUUGUAAAGCCCUUUUGUUGGGAAAGAAAAGCAGCAGGUGAAUACCCCGCUGUUCUGACGGUACCCAAAGAAUAAGCACCGGCUAACUUCGUG